CUUACAUAAGAUGGAAGUCUCUCACACUAGAUACUGAACAUUAAAUAGAAAAUCUAUUUAGUAAAAUCUAAGUUGCCAAGGAAGAAAUACCAGUAAAAGUUGCUGUAAGAAUUAGACCUCUGCUUUGCAAAGAAGUUCUUCAUAAUCACCAAGUUUGUGUGAGAGUUAUUCCAAACAGCCAGCAAGUUAUCAUUGGGAGAGAUAGAGUCUUCACUUUUGAUUUUGUUUUUGGCAAAAAUUCCACUCAAGAUGAAGUUUAUAACACAUGUAUAAAGCCCCUAGUGUUGUCACUCAUUGAGGGCUGUAAUGCAACUGUUUUUGCCUAUGGACAAACUGGAUCUGGGAAGACAUACACCAUUGGAGGGGGCCAUAUUGCUUCAGUUGUGGAGGGCCAAAAGGGUAUCAUUCUUCGAGCUAUUCAAGAAAUAUUUCAAAGCAUCUCUGAACAUCCUAGCAUUGACUUUAAUGUGAAAGUAUCUUAUAUAGAAGUGUACAAGGAAGACCUAAGAGAUCUUCUAGAAUUGGAGACAUCCAUGAAAGAUCUUCACAUCCGAAAAGAUGAAAAAGGAAACACAGG
rnacentral:lncRNA from 1 species